UUACCUUUUGGGGUUCAUCAACAACAUAGUUUCUGGGAAUUCUGAUCUUUUGAAGUGGAGGCCAUCAAGAUGGCAUCUUUUGCGGCUAGCAGAUUUCCGGCAUCACCGAAUUCUACAGGCGGGAUGCAUUGCAUAACCCGAGCGCUAGGGUUUAAGCUGAUGGCGGUGGCCGAUGGGAAGGGUGGGGCCUCGGUGGACAAAGGCCCUGGUAACGGGUUUGGAGGCUCGAGCGUUCGCUUUGCAGGUGAGAUUCGUCUUCUCUUUCUCCGGUUUUCUUGGGGAUUUUGGUCUUGUGGGUCGGCUUGAAUGGGAAAGAUUGGUUCUUGAUGGUGUCAUACUGUUGGAUUGGGUUGAGGCGAGGUGGGCUUGUGAUUCUCGUGGAGUCUUUGCUUGGGUCGUUUGCGUUAGGCCUGCAGGAGAUCACAAAGUGGGCGAUAGCUUUUGAGCGGCGGGUCCGUCGUUGGCUCUAAUGCCUAGAUGAUGAACUUGCCACACAGACAGUCUCUUUGAUGAAUUUUAGUUGGGGGGAUUACAAGAUGACAGUGGUAGCGUUGAUCUCCAUCGUAUUGUGUUCGACGAGGAGGAAGAUCAAAUUUUCACCCUGGUGAAUAGAGUAGAAUCACACAAGGAUACAGUCUAACCAAGGAGCACAGGAGUAAUUGGCAAGAGAUGUUCUUUUCCUAGGGCAAAGAAACUUCUAUUCUGAAUGGCUAUAACUUGAGAAGUUACACAAACUUUUGGUCUGAAAGGGGCUUUACCUUGAAAAUACGAUGACAGAGAGAUUUUGCCCACCUACCUGCAGGUUGACAUGUGAGCUAAAGUGUUCUGUUAAUUACGAUUUCACUACCACCAGUGCCUCCUUACCUGUAUGUUGACAUGUCAGCUAAAAUCUACUUGAGCAUUUCCUUGUGUUGACUCUUGGUCUGCAGAGAGAUUUUGCCAGCUUACCUGCAUGUUGAUAUUUGAGCCAAAAUCUACUUGAGCAUUUCUCUCUGUUAACUAGUUUCUGCAGGGUGUUGACUCUUUGUUCGGUUCGCAGGAGGGAUUCAUUCUGCCAUGUUACCUGCACGUUGACAUAUGAGCCAUUAUUUUCUGACACAUCAGUCCCUCCAAUGCGUUGACUCAAUCUUACAGCAUGUUGACUUGGUGUUAUCCAAAAUCUAUUUAAGCCUUCCUUUCUGACAGAUUCUUGGAUCACGGUUCGCAGUGAGAUUUUGCUGAAACCAUUGCAUCGGUAGCUGCAACGCCUGAGGUACUGACAUCUUAAUUGAGUCGGUUAAUAAGAUUAUUUUAUCGGAUCUAAUAAAAAUAAAUGUUCAAGAAUUAUGAGUCAUUAGAAACUAAAAGAAAGUGAAACGGUUGCAUCUCCAAUCAACUAACGCUAUAUGCGAAAUUAAUUACUUGGUUUUUUAUUGCUUUUACCAAUUAGUCAAAGACAAUUGCUUUGCGGUAUGCUUUGAUGUAUCAAAUAUUUUUUUAUUUUUUUUAUAUUGUAGCAGUGCUACAGUAUAGUAAUGUAGCACUGUAACGAUAUCGGACGAUUCACAUAUC